ensembl:snRNA U6 U6 spliceosomal RNA
GUUCUCACUUCAGCAGCACAUAUACUAAAAUUGGAGUGAUACGGAGAAGAUCAGCAUGACCCCUGCUCAAGAAUGACACUCAAAUUCGGGAAGCGUUCCAUAUUUUU